rnacentral:rRNA from 1 species
GGCUAGGCUGGCCGGGCGACGGUUGUCCCGGUUUAAGCGUGCAGGCGGGAGUUUUAGGUAAAUCCGGAACUCUUUUAACGCUGAGGCGUGAUGACGAGGCACUACGGUGCUGAAGUGAUAAAUGCCCUGCUUCCAGGAAAAGCCUCUAAGCAUCAGGUAACACAGAAUCGUACCCCAAACCGACACAGGUGGUUGGGUAGAGAAUACCAAGGCGCUUG